rnacentral:lncRNA from 1 species
UUUUUUUCACAGGUCAAAGUUCAUCUAAAUAGAAAGUCUUAAUUUAGAAAUAGCAACAAAAUCGUUGCUUGUCUGGUUGUUUGGCUCAACUAAGGUCCUAGGCGUAGACACCAAACACUAAUCAAAGUGCAACACCUAUGAAGGACUAGAAAAAAAAACAAGUGAGUAGCUUUGUCGUGUACUGAUAUGAUAGUAUAGUUUCAAUCUGGUACUUAACAACAAUUUUCAGUGGCUGAGUUAGUUAGUAGGUAACCUACGGUCGGCCCAUCCUUUGUACACGGCGCAGGAUCGAGUCUUGGCCUUGCGCCUUCUUUUUUCUUUUCUAGAUCGAGCGCGGUCGCGCGGUUUUCUCGGAGAAGUGGAUGGGCCGAGUGCGGGUUGAACCGGUCAACUAUACGAUAGGGAAAACAGAAAAGAAUAACGGCGUCCGCCAGAUCCGGAUCGAACGGCAACGAGUUCGUUCGGAUCUGUGGCAAAAAUACAGUCGUACGGAAGUUAGCUUUUCCGUAAUAUAAUAUGUGCAGUAAAAAAACGCUAAUUAAUCUCUCUGCUCCCUUAAUUUUAUGGGGAUGGGCCCCGUCUCCCUCUUAAUCUUCAAUUAAAACCUGCCACGUAACCUGCUUCUACGCAUAAAUUUUACAAAAUUUCUACGCAUAGAUGAGGCGGAGGGUGAAAAUUUGAGAUGCAAGCACCUCUCACGAUGGGGACUAUACGUGGCCAUAAUUCGGGCCGGGUCGGGCCUAAAGAAGCCUGAAGCAAAACACCUAGGCCCAGGCCUGACCCGGACCGGCUCUCGGGCCUAGAUUUUAGGCCCAAACCCGGCCCAUCAGUGCAAAAGCCCGUCGGGCCUUGGGUCGCGCCUCUUCCCUUAAACGCCCAUAUGUUAAGCCCGAGCCCAGCAUGCCUUGGUGUUCGUGCUCAACAUCUAGGCCCAGGCCUGGCUCGUGGGCAAGACUGGGCCGGGCAGGGUCAGGUCGGGCUGGGUUUCUCAUGGCCAGGUAUAACGUGGGCUAAGGACAACUCUACCCGGCAGAAGCAGGCAGACACGGUUUUUGUCCGGUUUUUAUUCAUUUGCUUCUGCUAAAUGGACGCGCGUGUUUGGUUUUGAUUUUGGAGGCGUCAGUGCGUUAGUCUGCGUGCUCUUGGAAAAAACUAAAUAGACAUAAACAUUUACAUUUAAAACAUGCAUAUUAAUAAAACUACCAAACAACUUGAAAAACUUAAUUCUGGUUCAACUUAUGCAACGCUUCACUAGCACUACGCUUAGGCCUUUGUUUCUCAGAGGCUACAAAAUAUCCCGAAACUAGUUACAAAAUUAGUGGAACCUUUACAUCUGACAUAAUCCCAAGAUAUGUGCAUAUUGACAUGUGCCUUUUGUUUAUGUUUGUUUACUAUUUGAACAACAAUAAGAUCCCUAUACCUUUGAAAAAGCUCUGGAACUAAGUGAUACAAUAUUUUAUCAAAGCAAUUAGAUGAUAGCCAUAAGUUCCAAAUCUAGUAUAUCCAUAAAAUUAAAUUAUUGUACGAUGUUCAGUCUAGUAUAUCCGAAAUACUCACCUGCACAACUUUUCAUUAGUGGAAGACAUUCAGAAGCUUCACGGAAAAGACAAAAUAGUUGCAUAUGUACCGUAAUACUAGCAGCUAAUUUCUUCCACGUCGACGGCGAUUGGAGAGAACUGCUCCCAAUAGCUGGAACACGUACAUAGCCAAGCGCAUGGCGACAACUGUGGCCACGAGCACCGACUCCCUCACCACCGAAGGCAACACCAUGCUCAAUGACACCUCCAACAGCAAAGCCGUGGCCGUUGACCUGACCACGUCCCCUCCCAUGCCCAUUGGCAUUGACACAACCACCAGGAUCAGCAACACCAAACCCAUGACCUUGGGCAAGGCCAUACCCAGGAGCAGGGACAAACCCCACCACGAGCCACACGACCACACACCUCACCAACGCCACGACCAAGGAUGAAUGCAACCAUCGUGUUCUCAUACGCGUCGGCUUCAGGAUCCCAGGGUAACCAGUUUCCCCAGUAGCCAGGCUUAGGAUCGGGAGCGGUAACCUGUUCUGCUGGCUGGUUUGCAGGAAUGACAACCUGAUUAUGUUGCCAGCCAAUAUCUAAGAAAGCUCCUCCUCCGCCUCCUCCUGUUGCGCUAGCUCCUCCAUGGCCUUGUCUCUUACGGCCCAAAGCUCAGCCAGAGGAUCUUCUGGAUUCUCUAUGAUAACAUCCUCGCUGAAGUGAAACACGGGCGGAAGACCUUGGGGAAAGGGAUUCGCCAUGGAAGAAAGGAUUGCAUAGUAGAGUACAAAGGAAAUAGUAGUUGCCGGUGCUACAACCGGCAGAUCUCGGAUAGGAGGUCCCAAGCUGUGGAUCUGGAAUGAUGGGUAACAGGAGACAAGGGGCACGAUGUUUUACCCAGUUUCAGGCCCUCCCGAAGAGGUUAAACCCUAUGUCCUGCUUGAUUAUAUUGAUGAUGGAGUAUUGAGUACAGGUUAAUCUGCCUUGAGACCGUAUGUUGUGUUCUAAACCCUAAGGCUAGUAAUCAUGAUUGUGAUUGUGCCUCCAUGGACUAAACCCUCCGGCUUAUAUAGGCACCAGGGGUAUCUAGGGUUACACAUGGUCGGUUGCCAACUAGGAAUAAACACGCCGAUGAUUGGAGUAGUCCUUGAAGUACAUGCCAAGUCUUCGGCAGUGCCUGUCUUGGUCACACCCGGGUUCGAGGCCUCCGGAGUCCUUCCUUGUGAGAUUGGUGGGCCGUAAGCUAGGUUGGUACCCCCUAGUCCAGGACACUGUUAGUAGCCCCUGAACUAGUCUUCGAAGCCGAGGACAUCAGAUACAUCCUUAGACCAAUGUUUCUGGCUUGGCAGGCGAGUCCCUCUGUCUAGAAGGCUUUCAUGUAAGCCCAGGAUCUCAGCAUCUAAAGACUUGAGAUAGCUUAGCCUCGAAGGCCUGCCACACAUGUGUGAAUAGUGGUUCUUACCUGACAACUUUUACCGAGCCAUCUCCACCUAUGGCACCAAGUGAGCCAGUUACUGUAACUCGAUUUGCGGCCUGAGACGGCUUUCUCAUGGGCAUGUCUCAUCAAUGCAGAGAUCGUGCUCCGUUUUUAGGGGAUAUCAUCAAGAAUUGUUUCACCCCAUGUGCGCAUAAUGGCAUGAAAGGUUGGAACAUGGAGAUUUAUUCGGCGCAGCAAGGGGACGCUUGAUAUUUUACUGAUCUAUAAAGACGAGGGGUAGUAAUCCCAUUUUCCCCUAUGCUUUCACCUCUUGCGCCAUUGCUCAAAGCCUCCAAAGCUCCAGCGCCCUAGAUCCAUUCCCAAAUAUUCGAGUUCCUCCAAGGUCUCGCCCCCUCUCCAGCGAUGUUCGACGCAGAGCUGAAGGGCAAGUGGGUGCCUUCCAUUCUUAUAGAGGGGACCAUAUAAGAGCUUCAAAACGCGGGCUACAUACCCACCGAAGCCAACUCUUGGGCGCUAGAGCCUGACCAGCGCAUCCCUACCCCCAAUCCAGGGGAGAGGGUAAUCUUCGUUCCUCACCUCAUCCGAGGUUGGGGCUUCCCUCUCCACCCCUUUGUGAGGGGUCUAAUAUUCUUUUACAGGCUAGGUUUUCACCAUCAGGCCCUGAACUCGAUUCUUCACAUAACGGCCUUCAUCACCAUUUGUGAAGCAUUCCUCCACGUCGAGCCACACUUCGGCCUGUGGCUGAAGACUUUCAGCAUAAAGCUGAAGAGCGGCGGCGCCUAGAUCACGAAAUGCGGUGGGGUCAUGAUGAGCAAGAUCUAGAGGGUGACCUGGCCAGAGGUCACUUUCAUGGAGACCAUCAAAGUGUGGCAGCGGGAGUGGUUUUACAUCAUCGAGCUACCCGCUGAAGGCCAACCGGAGGUUCCUGCCUUCACGACCGAGCCUCCGAGCAGAUUUGUCUCCUAAAUGAAGACAAGCUUGACAGGGGAAACCCUGAUGAGGUGGAGGCGCUUCAUAAGGGAAUUAAUCCAUCUUUGAUACAUCUCCAAUGUAUCUAUAAUUUUUUAUUGUUCCAUCCUAUUAUAGUAUCAAUCUUGGAUCUUUUAUAUGCAAUUAUAUAUCACUUUUUACGACCAACCUAUUAACCCAGUGCCAAGUGUCAGUUGUUGUUUUUUUGCCUAUUUGGUUUUCCAGGAUAUUAGUACCAACCGGAGUCCAAACGCUAUGAAACUUUUGGAUGACUUUUUUCUGGACAAGAGAGACCCUAGAAGCUUCGGGAGGAGACCAUACAAGAAGCGAGGAUACGACAAGGCAACAUGGUGCGCCCAGGGGGUAGUUUCACCCUGAUGCCUUGUAGGCCCCACGUGGCUCCGUCUGACCUAAUUCCACAUCUAUAAAUUCUCUAAAUUGGGAAUCCAACGGGGAGCGACCCAAAAUAUUUUUCCCGUCGGCAUAAGUUCCUGUUCUUUUAGAUCCCAUCUAGAGGCCUUUUCCGGCACCCUGCCGGAGGGGCAAUCGAUCAUGGAGGGCUUCUACAUCAACCUUGCAAAUGCUUCUAGAGUUCAACAAGCACUUCCCCGCCGCCCCUAUAGAGGUCAAGCUCAAGACAAACACCAGCUGCACAUGGAGGGUGACGGUGAGGGUGAUCAACGGCAGGGUCACCCUUGAUCAGGGUUGGGCCACCUUCACCGCCGUUCACCACAUCAUGAUCGGGUACAUGCUCACAUUCAAGCUGCUGACCCCUGACACCAUGAAGGUGAUCGUCUUCAACGAUGAGGGCAUCGAGGUGGUCACCAAGUGCAAGGAGCAUGACAAUGCUCUCGCCGUGACUGCCUAAGCUCCUGUUGCUCGUUCCUUGUUGGUUGUCGGUUUAAGACUUGGGUUUCGUUUAAAACAUAUCAUGCUAUGUUGGUUUAAAACUAGUGAUGCAUGGUUAAGACUUGUGUUUGUGCCUAAGUUUGUUCUGUUGCUCUAGUUUAGUUCUUAGUUUUUCAUGUGUGCCUCUGUUAACCUCACCACAUCGAGGAGGAGGUUACCACACAACUGUCCUGGAUGUAACCAAACAACUGGACUUGUGUUUCCCCUAAAACAAGUCCACAACCAAACAACAUGCCUUCUGUUUCGGCACAUGCAGGCUAGGGGGGAUGCAGGCAACCAAUCAACAUGCAGAGGUUGGUUUUUUACCUGCAUAUGCUCAGUGAUGUCGCUUGAAGCUACGUCGGUAUUUCCCCAAAGAGGAAGGGAUGAUGCAGCACAACGGCAUAGGUAUUUCCCUCAGAUAUGAAACCAAGGUUAUCGAACCAGUAGGAGAACCAAGCAACACAACGUAAAUAGCCCCUACACACAAAUAACAACACCUUGCAACCCAACAUGUUAAAGGGGUUGUCAAUCCCUUUUGGGGUACGGCGCCUCAAGAUAGGCAAAGGACGUGAGGUAAAUUUGUAGAUAGAAUAAAUAGAACGCGGAACAAAUAAAUUUCAGCAAGGUAUUUUUGUAUUUUUGGUUUAAUAGAUCUAAAAAUAAAUGCGAGGAAAAAGUAGAUCGCAAGGCACAUAUAUGAUAAAGAAGACCUGGGGGCCGUAGGUUUCACUAGUGGCUUCUCUCGAGAAAGAUAGCAAACGGUGGGAAAACAAUUACUGUUGGGCAAUUGAAAACUUGAAAACUUCAAUCACACAAAACUCAACAAAACCCUUGUGAGAUCCGUUAGUAAAAGAAAGCAAACCACUACUAUAAGUGUUGUGUCAAAACCAAUUUUUAUUUUGUUUUUGUAUUAUAUCUACUGUAUUCCAACUUUUCUAUGGCAAAAACUCAUCAAAGAAAACCAUAGAGCCAUCAAAAUAAGCAGACAACACAAAGAAAAUAGAAUCUGUCAAAACAGAACAGUCUGUAGUAAUCUGGAACUUUCGAAUACUUCUGUAACUCCGAAAAUUCUACCACAUAAGGAAGACCAGCAUAAUUUGUAUAUUAAUCUUCUGCAAAAGGAAUCAUGGCAAAAGCUCUUUUCUGUGAUUUAUGAUAAUUAUUUUCAUGAGUGCAAAGUUUCUGUCUUUUUCAGCAAGAUCAAACAACUAUCACCCCAGAAGAUCCUAAAGGCUUUACUUGGCACAAACACUAAUUAAAACACAAGAAACACAAUCAUACUAGUAGCAUAACUGUGCUAACACUCAGGAACAGAAAGCAAAAAAGAAAAAAAUAAAUUUUAUUCAUUGGGUUUCCUCCCAACAAGCGAUAUAGUUUUACGCCCCUAGCUAGGCAUAAAGCAAGGAUCUAAGUUUUGUCAUCCUUUUUCUUCUUAAUUUUCUUAGAGGUUUCUUCAUCAUGGGGUUUUGUAAACACAACAUAAAACAUAUUAUCCAUGGAAACUUUAGCAUUCCUUAGUUGGUUUUCAUCAUAGCCCCUUUGAUUACCCGCAACAAGCCAAGAGUAGUGUUGAUUAACAUUAUUAAAAACUUGUUGGAUUAUAUCUAUAACGGGACUUCCUUUUUAAGAUUCUCAUCAAAGAUCUUAUUAUCCCCAAGAAGAUGCCUUAGUGCUUAGUCACUAUUGUAGAUAAUUUCAUCUAUCAUGGGGGUUUCACGAUUCAUUCCAUAAAAAUAAAAGAUUUCCCUAGCUUCUCGUAUUAUGUAGUCAAAUUCAUUUAUAAGAACGAGAGUGGCCAACUUUUUGGCCCUAGGAUUCUUUAUGUCAGGGAUAUCAAAAAACAAUAUUUGCAAAGUGGGAUGGGUACGAAUAAAUUUACUUUCUAGUUUCAGAACUAGUGCUGAAAUAGCAUUCACAUAAGAUCUAGUAGUUUUAAGUAUAGGAGCAUCAUCAAGACUUAGAUUCCCAACACAACUGAAAAAAUAUUGAAUACGUUCUUUUCCCAUAACAUUCCCUUGCCCCAAGAUAAAAGUUUUAGCAUCCAAAUUUCCCGUACGUCCAAAUUUAGGAGUUAGGCCAUCAUCCGUUGGUGCCAUACCGAAAUCACUCAUGAUUGCAAGCAAAGGAUAGAUCUGACAAGAAAACAGCGAACAGACAAAGAGAGGCGAAUAAAACGACAAAUUUUUGUGAAGUGGGGGAGAGGAAAACGAGAGGCAAAUGGUGAAUAAUGUAAAUUGAAAGGAGAUGAGAUUUGUGAUUAGGAACCUGGUUAUGUUGAAGAUCCUCCCCGGCAACGGCGCCAGAAAUUCCUUUUGAUGUCGCUUGAGGCUACGUCGGUAUUUACCUAAAGAGGAAGGGAUGAUGCAGCACUGCGCCCGUAGGUAUUUCCCUCAGAUAUGAAACUAAGGUUAUCGAACCAGUAGGAGAACCAAGCAACACAACUAAAAAGCCCCUGCACACAAAUAACAACACCUCGCAACCCAAUGUGUUAAAGGGGUUGUCAAUCCCUUUCGGGGUACGGCGCCUCGAGAUAGCAAAGGACGUGAGGUAAAUUUGUAGAUAGGAUAAAUAGAUCGCAGAACAAAUAAAUAGCAACAAGGUAUUUUUUGUAUUUUUGGUUUAAUAGAUCUGAAAAUAAACGCAAGGAAAAAGUAGAUCGCAAGGCAAAUAUAUGAGAAAGAAGACCCGGGGGCCGUAGGUUUCACUAGUGGCUUCUCUCGAGAAAAAUAGCAAACGGUGGGAACACAAUUACUGUUGGGCAAUUGAUAGAACUACAAAUAAUCAUGACUAUAUCCAAGCAAUGAUCAUUACAUAGGCAUCACGUCCAAGAUUAGUAGACCGACUCCUGCCUGCAUCUACUACUAUUACUCCACACAUCGACCGCUAUCCAGCAUGCAUCUAGUGUAUUAAGUUCAUGGAAAAACGGAGUAAUGCAAUAAGAACGAUGACAUGAUAUAGACAAGAUCCGUUUAUGUAUUGCGGCAGAUAUGGAUCCUAUCUUUUUAUCCUUAGUAGCAACGAUACAUACGUGUCGGUUCCCUUUCUGUCACUGGGAUCAAGCACUGUAAGAUCGAACCCACUACAGGGCACCUCUUCCAAUUGCAAGAUAAGAUCAAGUUGGCCAAGCAAAACCCAAAUAUCGAUGAAGAAAUACGAGGCUAUAAGCAAUCAUGCAUAUAAGAGAUCAAAGAAACUCAAAUAACUUUCAUGGAUAUAAAAAGAAAUAACUGGUCAUAAACUCGAAGUUCAUCAGAUCCCAACAAACACACUGCAAAAAGAGUUACAUCAUAUGGAUCUCCAAGAGACCAUUGUAUUGAUAAUCAAGAGAGAGAGGAAGCCAUCUAGCUACUAACUACGGACCCGAAGAUCUACAAAGAACUACUCACACAUCAUCGGAGAGGCACCAAUGGAAGUGGUGAACCCCUCUGUGAUGGUGUCUAGAUUCGAUAUCGUGGUUUUGGACUCUGCGGCGGCUGGAUGAAUAUUUCGUCAACUCCCCUAGGGUUUCUGGAAUAUUGGGGUAUUUAUAGAGCAAAGAGGCGGUCCAGGGGGCACCCGAGGUGGGCACAACCCACCAGGGCGCACCUGGGCCUCCUGGCACGCCCUGGUGGGUUGUCCCCUCCUUGGGACUCCCCCCAGGUGCAACUAGGGCCCAACUUCUUCCUUUUGGUCGAUAAAAAAUCAUCGUAAAUUGGCGUGGCAUUUGGACUUCGUCUGAUAUUUAUUUCCUGUGAUGUAAAAAACAUGUAGAAAACAACAACUGGCACUUGGCACUAUGUCAAUAGGUUAGUACCAAAAAAUGAUAUAAAAUGACUAUAAAAUGAUUAUAAAACAUCCAAGAUUGAUAAUAAAACAACAUGGAAUAAUAAAAAAUUAUAGAUACGUUGGAGACGUAUCAGCAUCCCCAAGAUUAAUUCCUACUCGUCCUCGAGUAGGUAAGUGAUAAAAACAGAAUUUUGAUGUGGAGUGAUGUUUAUCAUGUCAUAUCAUAUUCUUUUCUUUAUAGCAUGGACAUUUGGACUUUUAUGUGAUUCAAAGCAAUAGUCUAGUUUUGACAUAAUAAUUUAGAUACUCAAGUAUAUCAACAAGCAACCAUGUCUUUCAAAAUAUCAAUGCUAAAACAAGUUAUCCCUAGCCCAUCAUGCUCAAACAUUGAUCCAUUCAUGAAACACACUCGAAUAUUAGCUACACCCAAUACUUAAGUACGAUCAUAUUGCCCCCUAGUUGGUGCUUUUAUAAGAGAGGAUGGAGACUCAAUUUCAAAAAUAAAAGUUGCAUAAAGUAAAAGAAAGGCCCUUCAUAGAGGGAAGUAGGGAUUUGUAGAGGUGCUAGAGCUCAAAGCGAAAAAAAUAGAGAUAAAAACAUUUUGGGAGGUGUUUCCAUCCCACCAACGAAAAUGACUCAGAGCAUCCCAACACUUUCCAUGCUAGAUAUAUCAUAGGUGGUUCCCAAACAGAAAAUAAAGUUUAUUCAUUUUUCCACCAUAACUUUCACUUUCCAUGGCUAGCCGAAUCCACGGGUGCCCUCCAUACCAACACUUUCCAAGGAAUUUAUUAUUUGACAACAUAAAGUAAAUUCAUUUUUGCAUUUCAGGACUGGGCAUCCCUAAUACCUUUGCCUUACUCUCGUGCAAUGACAAGUGAAUAAACACUCGUCGUGAGAAUAACACAUCUAGCAUGAAAAAUAUUAACCACUCGUUACCGUUCCGCGAGCGAAACAAACACACAAAAGAGAAGUUUAUUUUGAAAAUUAGAGAUGGCACAUGCAAAUUUGCUUAGAAUGGCAAAAGAAUACUACUUAUAGGUAGAUAUAGUGGACUCAUGUGGCAAAACUGGUUGAAAGGAUUUUGGAUGCACAAGUAGAGGUCAUACUUGGUGUAAAAUGAAGGCUAGCAAAAAGAUUGAGAAGCGACCAACCAAGAAAUGAAUAAUCUCAUAAGCAAGCAUUAAGCAUAAUUAACACUGAAUAAUGCACCACAAGUAGGAUAUAAUUUUCAUUGCAUGAUUAUUGACUUUCGUGCAUGCAUAGGGAAUCACAAACCUUAACACCAAUAUUCUUACUAGAGCACAAUUACUCAUCAAUUCACUAGUGGCUUCUCUCGAGAAAGAUAGCAAACGGUGGGAAAACAAUUACUAUCGAGCAAUUGAUAGAACUUCAAAUAAGCAUGACGAUAUCCAGGCAAUGAUCAUUACAUAGGCAUCACAUCCAAGAUUAGUAGACCGACUCCUGCCUGCAUCUACUACUAUUACUCCACACACCGACCGCUAUCCAGCAUGCAUCUAGUGUAUUAAGUUCAUGGGAAAACGGAGUAAUGCAAUAAGAACGAUGGCAUGAUGUAGACAAGAUCUGUUUAUCUAUUGCGGUAGAUAUGGAUCCCAUUUUUUUUAUCCUUAGUAGCAACGAUACAUACGUGUCAGUUCCCUUUCUGCCACUGGGAUCAAGCAUCGUAAGAUCGAACCAACUACCGGGCACCUCUUCCCAUUGAAAGAUAAAUAGAUGAAGUUGGCCAAAAAAAACCAAAUAUCGAUGAAGAAAUACGAGGCUAUAAGCAAUCAUGCAUAUAAGAGAUCAAAGAAACUCAAAUAACUUAACUGGAUAUAAAAAGAUAUAACUGAUCAUAAACUCGAAGUUCAUCAGAUCCCAGCAAACACACCGCAAAAAGAGUUACAUCAUAUGGAUCUCCAAGAGGCCAUUGUAUUGAUAAUCAAGAGAGAGAGAGAGGAAGCCAUCUAGCUACUAACUACGGACCCAAAGGUCUACAAAGAACUACUCACGCAUCAUCGGAGAGUCACCAAUGGAAGUGGUGAACCCCUCCGUGAUGGUGCCUAGAUUGGAUCUCGUGGUUUUGGACUCUGCGGCGGCUAGAUGAAUAUUUCAUUGACUCCCCUAGGGUUUCUGGAAUAUUGGGGUAUUUAUAGAGCAAAGAGGCGGUCCAGGGCGCACCCGAGGUGGACACAACCCACCAGGGCGCGCCUAGGCCUCCUGGCGCACCCUGGUGGGUUGUCCCCUCCUCGGGAGUCCCCCUAGGUGCAACCAGGGCCCAACUUCUUCCUUCUAGUCCAUAAAAAGUCAUCGUAAAUUAGCGUGGCAUUUGGAAUCUGUCUGAUAUUGAUUUGCUGCGAUGUAAAAAACAUGCAGAAAACAACAACUGGCACUUGGCACUAUGUCAAUAGGUUAGUACCAAAAAAUGAUAUAAAAUGACUAUAAAAUGGUUAUAAAACAUCCAAGAUUGAUAAUAAAAAAGCAUGAAAUAAUCAAAAAUUAUAGAUACGUUGGAGACGUAUCACUCAGCCAGGCCCAGCUGGGACAAGUAUGCAAAGUGCCUGAAGAUAUGUAGGUAACCAAACCCAUCCCUAAUGUGUGGGCCCGGCUUAUUGGGCUGGAGCCCAAAUUGACUUAUGGUAUUUAAUUUCAAGUUUGACAAGUCUAUACUCUAUAGCAAAAUUUAUCAAAGUCUUCAAAAACAAAUUUACUUCAUUAGAUUCAUUAUGAAGUGGAUUUUCAUAUUACAUAUAUUUGAUAUUGCAUAUCUUUGGGGGUUUUUCAAUAGACUUGGUCAAACUUUAAAAAGUUUGACAUAGAGAAUCCUAGAACUAAAAUUAUGUUGGAACCGAGGGAGUACAUUUCAAACAUGUUUAAAUUUUAACAUUUCAAUUCAUUUAUUUUACUCAAACAAUUUAACUGUGUGAAAUUGCUUAUUUGUCAAGCUGCUUGCUUGAGUAUGUAAAAGUAAUAUUUUGAAAAUACAACUAGAAUUUAAACAUGCUAUUUUCUGAAGCUGCUUAUUUCACCGAGUUUAGUUGUGAAGUUAGUUAUUUCAUUCAUUUCAAUUUUCAAUGUGAAAUAGUUUUUCUUCAUAUAUGUGAAAUUGAUUUCAAUUUGUGAAGUUCCUUAUUGCAGUGUGUUGAUGUCUACUACACAAUCUUCUUCUUGUAGACGUUGUUGGGCCUCCAAGUGCAGAGGUUUGUAGGACAGUAGCAAAUUUCCCUUAAGUGGAUGACCUAAGGUUUAUCAAUCCGUAGGAGGCGUAGGAUGAAGAUGGUCUCUCUCAAGCAACACCUGCAACCAAAUAACAAAGAGUCUCUUGUGUCCCCAAAACACCCAAUACAAUGGUAAAUUGUAUAGGUGCACUAGUUUAGUGAAGAGAUGGUGAUACAAGUGCAAUAUGGAUGGUAGAUAUAGGUAUUUGUAAUCUGAAAAUAUAAAAACAGCAAGGUAACUAAUGAUAAAAGUGAGCGUAAACGGUAUUGCAGUGCUAGGAAACAAGGCAUAGGGUUCAUACUUUCACUAGUGCAAGUUCUCUCAACAAUAAUAACAUAAUUGGAUCAUAUAACUAUCCCUCAACAUGCAACAAAGAGUCACUCCAAAGCCACUAAUAGCAGAGAACAAACGAAGAGAUUAUGGUAGGGUACGAAACCACCUCAAAGUUAUCCUUUCUAUUCUAUCUAUUCAAGAGUCCGUAGUAAAAUAACAUGAAGCUAUUCUUUCCGUUCAAUCUAUCAUAGAGUUCAUACUAGAAUAACACCUUAAGACACAAAUCAACCAAAACCAUAAUGUCACCUAGAUACUCCAUUGUCACCUCAAGUAUCCAUGGGCAUGAUUAUACGUUAUGCAUCACACAAUCUCGGAUUCAUCUAUCCAACCAACACAAAGUAGUUCAAAGAGUGCCCCAAAGUUUCUACCAUAGAGUCAAGACGAAAACAUGUGCAAACCACUAUGCAUAGGUUCAUGGGCGGAACCCGCAAGUUGAUCACCAAAACAUACAUCAAGUGGAUCACGUGAUAUCCCAUUGUCACCACAGAUAAGCACGGCAAGACAUACAUCAAGUGUUCUCAAAUCCUUAAAGACUCAAUCCGACAAGAUAACUUCAAAGGUAAAACUCAAUCCAUCACAAGAGAGUAGAGGGGGAGAAACAUCAUAAGAUCCAACUAUAAUAGCAAAGCUCGCGAUACAUCAAGAUCGUGCCAUAGAGAGAACACGAGAGAGAGAGAUAUCAUAGCUACUGGUACAUACCCUCAGCCCCAAGGGUGAACUACUCCCUCCUCAUCAUGGAGAGCGUCGGGAUGAUGAAGAUGGCCACCGGUGAGGGAUCCCCCCUCUGACAGGGUGCCGGAACGGGCUCCCGAGAGGUUUUUGGUGGCUACAGAGGCUUGCGGCGGCGGAACUCCCGAUCUAUUGUGUGUUUCGAUGUUUUUAGGGUAUAUGGGAAUAUAUAGGCGAAAGAAGUCGGUCGAGGGAGCCUCGAGGAGCCCACGAGGGUGGAGGGUGCGCCUAGGGGGGUGGGCGCACCCCCUAUCUCGUGGCCUCCUCGACGCUUCCCUGGCUUGCACUCCAAGUUCCCGGGAUUGCUUCUGUUCCAAAAAUAACUUUUCCGAAGGUUUCAUUCCGUUUGGACUCCGUUUGAUAUUCCUUUUUCUUCGAAACACUGAAAUAGGCAAGAAAACAACAAUAUGGGUUGGGCCUCCGGUUAGUCCCAAAAAUGAUAUAAAAGUGUAAAGUAAAGCCCAUAAGCAUCCAAAAUGGGUAAUAUAAUAGCAUGGAACAAUCAAAAAAUUUAGAUAUGUUGGAGACGUAUCAAGCAUCCCCAAGCUUAAUUCCUGCUCAUCCUCGAGUAGGUAAAUGAUAAAAACAGAAUUUUUGAUGUGGAAUGCUACCUAGCAUAUUUCUCAAUGUAAUUUUCUUUAUUGUGGCAUGAAUUUUCAGAUCCAAAUGAUUCAAAAUAAAAGUUCAUAUUGACAUAAGAAAUAGUAAUACUUCAAGCAUACUUAAUCAAGCAAUCAUGUCUUCUCAAAAUAACAUGGCCAAAGAAAGUUAUCCCUACAAAAUCAUAUAGUCUGGCUGUUGCUCUAUCUUCAUUACACAAAGUAUUUAAUCAUGCACAACCCCGAUGACAAGCCAAGCAAUUGUUUCAUACUUUAGUAAUCUCAAACUUUUUCAACUUUCACGCAAUACAUGAGCGUGAGCCAUGGACAUAGCACUAUAUGUGGAAUAGAAUGGUGGUUGUGGAGAAAACAAAAAGGGAGAAGAUAGUCUCACAUCAACUAGGCGUAUCAACGGGCUAUGGAGAUGCCCAUUAAUAGAUAUCAAUGAGUGAGUAGGGAUUGCCAUGCAACGGAUGCACUAGAGCUAUAAAUGUAUGAAAGCUCAACAAAAGAAACUAAGUGGGUGUGCAUCCAACUCGCUUGCUCAGGAAGACCUAGGGCACUUUGAGGAAGCUCAUCAUUGGAAUAUACAAGCCAAGUUCUAUAAUAAAAAAUUCCCACUAGUAUAUGAAAGUGACAACAUAGGAGACUCUCUAUCAUGAAGAUCAUGGUGCUACUUUGAAGCACGGGUGUGGUAAAGAGGAUAGUAGCAUUGUCCCUUCUCUCUUUUUCUCUCAUUUCUCUUUUUUUCUUUUCUUCUUUUUUAUUUUUCUUUUUCUCUUUUUUUGGGCCUUUUUUUUCUUCUUUUUGUCCUUUCUUCUUUUUUCUUUUCUUUUUUUCUCUCUUUUUUUUCAUAAACCCCGACUUGUGGGGGAAUCAUAGUCUCCAUCAUCCUUUCCUCACUGGGACAAUGCUCUAAUAAUGAAGAUCAUCAUACUUUUAUUUACUUACAACUCAAGAAUUACAACUCAACAAGAUAUUACUCUAUAAGAAUGCCUCCGGCGGUGUACCGGGAUAUGCAAUGAAUCAAGAGCGACAUGUAUGAAAAUUAUGAAGGUGGCGUUGCCACAAAUACGAUGUCAACUACAUGAUCAUGCAAAGAGCAAUAUGACAAUAAUGAUGCGUGUCAUAUAAACGGAACGGUGGAAAGUUGCAUGGCAAUAUAUCUCGGAAUGGCUAUGGAAACGCCAUAAUAGGUAGGUAUGGUGGCUGUUUUGAGAAAGGUAUAUGGUAGGUGUAUGGUAUCGGCGAAAGUUGCGCGGCACAAGAGAGGCUAGCAAUGGUGGAAGGGUGAGAGUGCGUAUAAUCCAUGGACUCAACAUUAGUCAUAAAGAACUCAUAUACUUAUUGCAAAAAUCUACAAGACAUUUAAAACAAAGUACUACGUGCAUGCUCCUAGGGGGAUAGAUUGGUAGGAAAAGACCAUCGCUCGUCCCCGACCGCCACUCAUAAGGAAGACAAUCAAUAAAUAAAACUGUGCUCCAACUUCAUCACAAAGCGGUUCACCAUACGUGCAUGCUACGGGAAUCACAAACUUCAGCACAAGUAUUCUUUAAUUUCAUAAUCACCCAACUAGCAUGACUCUAAUAUCACCACCUCUAUGUCUCAAAACAAUUAUCAAGUAUCAAAUUGAUCAUAGCAUCCAAUUCACUUUCUAUGAUAGUUUUUAUUAUACCCAACUUGGAUGCCCAUCAUUCUAGGACCAAUUUUAUAACCAUAGCAAAUACCAUGCUGUUCUAAAAGACUCUAAAAAUAAUAUAAGUGAAGCAUGAGAGACUAAAAAUUUCUACAAAAUAAAGCCACCGCCGUGCUCUAAAAGAUAUAAGUGAAGCACUAGAGCAAAAGACAAACUACUCCGAAAAGAUAUAAGUGAAGAUUAAUGAGUAGUCAAAUAAUUGUGCAACUAUGUGAAGACUCUCUAACAUUUAAGAAUUUCAGAUCUUGGUAUUUUAUUCGAACAGCAAGCAAAAUAAAGCAAAAGAAAAUGACGCUCCAAGCAAAACACAUAUCAUGUGGUGAAUAAAAAUAUAGCUCCAAGUAAAGUUACCGAUGAACGAAGACGAAAGAGGGGAUGCCAUCCGGGGCAUCCCCAAGAUUAGGCUCUCGGUUGUCCUUGAAUAUUGCCUUGGGUGCCUUGGGCAUCCCCAAGCUUAGGCUCUUGCCACUCCUUAUUCCAUAGUCCAUCGAAUCUUUACCCAAAACUUGAAAACUUCACAACACAAAACUCAACAGAAAACUCGUAAGCUCCGUUAGUAUAAGAAAAAAAACCAUCACUUAGGUACUGUAAUGAACUCAUUAUAAAUUCAUAUUGGUGUAAUAUCUACUGUACUCCAACUUCUCUAUGGUUCAUAUCCUCCGAUACUACUCAUAGAUUCAUCAAAAUAAGCAAACAAUACAUAGAAAACAGAAUCUGUCAAAAACAGAACAGUCUGUAGUAAUCUGUAUCAAACGUAUACUUCUGGAACUCCAAAAAUCCUACCAAAUUAGGAAGUCCUACGAAAUUUGUGUAUAAAUCCAGAGCAAAAAUAAUCAUAUCAUAAGAAGGUUUCUGUGAAUUAUCAAAACUAAUUUACUGGGUGCAAAAGUUUCUGAUUUUCAGCAGGAUCAACACAACUAUCACCAAAAGCCAUCCUAAAGGUCUUACUUGGCACUUUAUUGAAAAAAAAGCUAUAAAACAUGAUUAAUACAGUAGCAUAAUCAUGUGGACACACAAAAACAGUAAGUAUAAAUAUUGAGAUGUCUCCCAACAAGCGCUUUUCUUUAAUGCCUUUCUAGCUAGGCAGGAUGAUGAAAAUGAUGCUCACAUAAGAGAUAAGAAUUGAAACAUAACGGGAGCAUCAUGAAGCAUAUGACUAGCACAUUUAAGUCUAACCCUCUUCCUAUGGAUAGGGAUUUUGUGAGCAAACAACUUAUGGGAACAAUAAUCAACUAGCAUAGGAAGGCAAAACAAGCAUAACUUCAAGAUUUUAAGCACAUAGAGAGGAAACUUGAUAUCAUUGCAAUUCCUACAAGCAUAUAUUCCUCCCUCAUAAUAAUUUUCAGUAGAAUCAUGAAUGAAUCUAACAAUAUAACAAGCACCUAAAUCAUUCUUUUCAUGAUCUACUUGCAUAGAAAAUUUACUACUCUCCACAUAAGCAAAAUUCUUCUCAUUCGAAAUAGUGAGAGUAUCAUAAGAGACUCGAAUACUAAAAAUUGUUUCCACAUUAAAAGAGUAAUGUUCAGAAAAAGGGUAAUCAUAAUCAUGACAAGUUUUAUAAAUAUAAUCAUGACUACUUUUUAUAGCAUAAGUUUCAUCACAAUAAUCAUCAUAAGUAGCAACUUUGUUCUCAUCAUAAUCGAUUGAAACCUCUUCCAAGAUAGUGGAAUCAUCACUAAAUAAAGUUGACACUCUUCCAAAUCCAUUUUCAUAUUCAUCACAAUAAGAUUCAACAUCCUCCAAAAUAGUGGGAUCACUACUUCCUAAAGUUGACACUCUUCCAAACCCACUUUCAUCAAUAUAAUCAUCAUAGGUAAGAGGCAUACUACCAUCAUAACAACUUUGCAUAUCAAAACUUGGGAUGCUAAAAAUAUCAUCUUCAUUAAACAUAGCAUCCCCAAGCUUGGGACAAACAUUAAUUGCAGAAAAUAUAUUCUAAAAUAUGUCAUCCUCAUCAAACAUAGCUUCCCCAAGCUUGGGCCUUUUCAUAUCAUAAGCAUAAUCACUCUCAUCAUUAAUAGUAUGGAUAGCACCAAUAGUACAACAAUUAUCAUCAUCACAAUGAGUAGUAGGAGCAACUUCAUUUGGGAGGGAUACCUUUUUACCUUUGUUGCUCCUUCUUUUCUUUUUCUUCUUCACAUUAUGUGUGGGCUCAACCUUCUUCUUUGAGCUCCUUAUUGAUGAGAUUGGUUGAAUAGAAAGCUCCUCCUUGUUACCUGAUUCAUCAUAAGAAAUAAUAGGAGGAGAUUGGAAGUCUCUUCCCUUUCAUUAGUAUUCUCAUCAUCUUCUAUUUGCUUUCUUUUCUUUAUGUAAUUGGCAAUAUAAGGGUUUUCAAUGCAAUUCACCGCAUGAUACAUAUAAAUUUCCUCUAGAUCAAACUCAAGAAGGUUAUGACGGGAAAUUCUGGAAGAAAUUUAGUUAAACUUUUCAUUUCUUCGUAACCAUAAGCAAACUAAGUUCAUUAUAAUGUGCAAGGGAUAUCAAAUCAUCACAAAUUUUUGGACACGAUUCGAUCACAAAACAAUUUGCAUCGGAGAUGUAAAUGACCACUUUCAUUGCAAAGUUCACAAGUACGGCGAAGGAAAUAUAAUUCUUCAGCACUCACCCUUAGCCUUUCUUGCAACAAUUUAGUUUCUACAUACUUAUGCCUCUUGCAAUAUCUAUCUUCUCUAUUUGGUGUAUCUAUGCAAACCCAAUCUCUCCACAAAAAUCAACAUGCUUAUAGGAGACAUUUUCAUCAUAACUAGUGCAACCACCAUUAGUACUAUGGAUACUCAAAGAGUUCAUACUAACAACAUUGCAAUCAUGCUCAUCAUUCAAAGAUUUAGUACCAAACAUUUUAAUGCAUUCUUCUUCUAGCACUUGAGCACAAUUUUCCUUUCCAUCAUUCUCACAAAAGAUAUUAAAAAGAUGAAGCGUAUGAGGCAAACUUAACUCCAUUUUUUUGUAGUUUUCUUUUAUAUACUAAACUAGUGAUAAAACAAGAAACAAAAAGAUUCGAUUGCAAGAUCUAAAGAUAUACCUUCAAGCACUCACCUCUCCGGCAACGGCGACAGAAAAGAGCUCGAUGUCUACUACACAACCUUCUUUUUGUAGACGUUGUUGGGCCUCCAAGUGCGGAGGUUUGUAGGACAGUAGCAAAUUUCCCUCAAGUGGAUGACCUAAGGUUUAUCAAUCCGUAGGAGGAGUAGGAUGAAGAUGGUCUCUCUCAAGCAACCCUGCAACCAAAUAACAAAGAGUCUCUUGUGUCCCCAACACACCCAAUACAAUGGUAAAUUGUAUAGGUGCACUAGUUCGGCGGAGAGAUGGUGAUACAAGUGCAAUAUGGAUGGUAGAUAUAGGUAUUUGUAAUUUGAAAAUAUAAAAACAGCAAGGUAACUAAUGAUAAAAGUGAGCAUAAACGGUAUUGCAAUGCUAGGAAACAAGGCAUAGGGUUCAUACUUUCACUAGUGCAAGUUCUCUCAACAAUAAUAACAUAAUUGGAUCAUAUAACUAUCCCUCAACAUGCAACAAAGAGUCACUCCAAAGCCACUAAUAGCGGAGAACAAACAAAUAGAUUGUGGUAGGGUAUGAAACCACCUCAAAGUUAUCCUUUCUGUUCUAUCUAUUCAAGAGUCCGUAGUAAAAUAACAUGAAGCUAUUCUUUCCGUUCAAUCUAUCAUAGAGUUCAUACUAGAAUAACACCUUAAGGCACAAAUUAACCAAAACCCUAAUGUCACCUAGAUACUCCAUUGUCACCUCAAGUAUCCAUGGGCAUGAUUAUACGAUAUGCAUCACACAAUCUCGGAUUCAUCUAUCCAACCAACACAAAGUACUUCAAAGAGUGCCCCAAAGUUUCUACCGGAGAAUCAAGACGAAAACAUGUGCAAACCACUAUGCAUAGGUUCAUGGGCAGAACCCGCAAGUUGAUCACCAAAACAUACAUCAAGUGGAUCACGUGAUAUCCCAUUGUCACCACAGAUAAGCACGACAAGACAUACAUCAAGUGUUCUCAAAUCCUUAAAGACUCAAUCCGACAAGAUAACUUCAAAGGGAAAACUCAAUCCAUCACAAGAGAGUAGAGGGGGAGAAACAUCAUAAGAUCCAACUAUAAUAGCAAAGCUCGCGAUACAUAAAGAUCGUGCCAUAGAGAGAACACGAGAGAGAGAUAUCAAACACAUAGCUACUGGUACAUACCCUCAACCCCGAGGGUGAACUACUCCCUCCUCAUCAUGGAGAGCGCCGAGAUGAUGAAGAUGGCCAUCGGUGAGGGACCCCCCCCCCCCUUUGGCAGGGUGCCGGAACGGGCUCCCGAGAGGUUUUUGGUGGCUACAGAGGCUUGCGGCGGCGGAACUCCCGAUCUAUUGUGUGUUUCAAUGUUUUUAGGGUAUAUGGGAAUAUAUAGGCGAAAGAAGUCGGUCGGGGGAGCCUCGAGGGGCCCACGAGGGUGGAGGACGCGCCCGGGGGGGCUAUCUCGUGGCCUCCUCGACGCUUCCCUGGCUUGCACUCCAAGUUCCCGGGAUUGCUUCUGUUCCAAAAAUAACUUUUCCGAAGGUUUCAUUCUGUUUGGACUCCGUUUGAUAUUCCUUUUCUUCGAAACGCUGUAGGCAAUAAAACAACAAUAUGGGCUGGGCUCCGGUUAGUAGGUUAGUCCCAAAAAUGAUAUAAAAGUGUAAAGUAAAGCCCAUAAACAUCCAAAACGGGUAAUAUAAUAGCAUGGAACAAUAAAAAAUUAUAGAUACGUUGGAGACGUAUUGUCAGGACCCCGACUCAAUGCCACAUCGAUCUAGCAUGUAACACCUCAUAUCACUUUGCGGCCUCACGCACGGUAUCCCCACGGGUGUCGUCUUACCCUUUCCCGGGACCGUUUGCGCAUUUUGGUACAUGUAUAUGAUGGUGUCGCUAACAUCCAUAUGAUAAAGAGCCCGGGCUGACAUGGCUAGUCGUAAACCCAAAGUGGCACUAACUUACAGGGACAGGCAUCCAUGACCCAGCAUCGAACGUGUCGGUCAUCAGCGAGUGAAUCCAGGCUGUAGCACUGGGCUAACAGGACUCCGGUGAACCGGGCUGUAGCGGGCUAGCAGGACUCUGGUAUUCAUCGCGUGACAUUUCCCCGAAGGGACAGACACAGGAUCGAAGAAGGACACAUGCCGGCCAGCCUAAGUGUUCCGGAGCAGUAGCAAGCUACCAGGGCUCAGUGGAAGCACUAGGAGACAUUUCCCAGUAAGAGAGGCUACUAAGGAUAACAACUAGAUAGUCAUAUCCCACACAUAGCAAUACACAUUACACGUACGCAUAAUAUGCAAGUAUGUGCUGUACAACAUGGCAUCACAGCAUAACUCAACAAUCAUAUAGAUAAAGGCUCAGAAGAGCCAUCAUAGCAUAUAUUGCAAACAGGGGUCACAAAACCCAUCAUACAGAGCAUACAAGCAACAAGCGGAAGCAUUACAUGUCUGGGUACAGACAUCUACAAAUGAAAAAGGCUGAAGAGCCUGACUAUCUACAACAUCCGAUCAAGAUCGUAGCUGAGGUACUAGCUACUAGUCGAAGUCCACGAGAACACUAGUAAGACCGAAGUCUCCGCUGCAAAAACAUAAAUAAAGCAACAUGAGUACAAAGGUACUCAGCAAGACUUACAUCAGAUCCUAUCAUACAUGCAUUUGUACCAAGAGGGUAAUGUGGGGUUUGGUUGCAGCAAGCCAGCUUUGACUCUGUGGCUAUCCUGUUCUACGACUACCAGAAACUCUGGAGGUGAAACAACGUACACGAGUCCACUAAUCACCAUACAAUACACUACUAUGGAUUCAUCCCCGUCUCCCUACGAGAAGGCCAUCCAUAGCACUCACACUUGUCUUGAGCAUUUUUUAGUAUCCACUUCAAGUUGUCUAUGUACCAUGUAAGCAUCCAAGAAGUCCAUAACCGCGGACCCGGCUAUUCGAAUAGAUCAUGUUAACCCUGCAGGGGUGUACUUCUUCACACACGCUCUCGCCACUUACCGCCAUGUACACGUCAUGUAUCUCGGCAACCUUCAAGCGGAAGCCUGGCGAGGGUGUCGGCCACGACCUGACUAACCACACAAGACUCUAGUCCAGGUUUAUUGCCUAUUCGGGUUCCAUCCGCAAGGAGAUCCGGCCGGGGUGUCGCUCACGGCCCCAAACGAUGUGAGCAGGGUUCCCGAGCCCACCAACCGGGUGCCACUCGGUACACCGUGCCACGUGUGCCUAGUCUGUCCCAAGCCCACCCUGCCGGGUGCCACUUGGUAGAAAAAUAGCACUACCUACAAACACCAGAAACUAGUUGCGACUCCUGGACAGAGACCAAGUUGGUUAAUAAGUCGAGAGGGGCACUUAAGCAUUCCAAUGUGUGGUAGUAUCGAGUCAUUGGACAACAUACAAAGAACUCAGUGCUUAAGGACGGUUCCAGCGAGACAACCCACCAUGUACUCCUACAUGGCCUCUCACCGCUACCUUUACCAAAUCGUGUUCACACACUUCACUCUCAGCAUCAGAACAUAUCGUGACACUCCAAUUCAUUCCCAAUGAAUCAGACCUGACACAACUCUAAGCAAUAGCAGGCAUAGCAUGGUAGGAACACAUCAGUGGCUUCAAUCAACUCCUACACAUGCUAGUGGGUUUCAACUAUUUACUGUGGCAAUGACAGGUCAUGCAGAGGAAUGGGUUCAACUACCGCAGCACAAAGUAGCAGAUGAAUCGUUGUUGUCCUAAUGCAAUAACUGAGAGCAGGAGCGAGAGAGUAGGGUUUUAUCGAAAUGAACAAGGGGGGUUGCUUGCCUGGUAAAUCAACAAGGGAGGCACUGCUUCACAGACAGGUACUCUGGAACGUCUCCGGAGCAGGACCUAUCGAGAAGGAACGGUGCCGGCAAUCAAUACACAAUCAUAUGCAACAAUAUGAUGCAUGAACAUGGCAUGUAGAUGUGAUGCUGCUGAGCUAAUGCAACUAGUGUUCAAUUGGUUUGAAGUCCAUUUGAACCAAAGGUUCAAAUGCAUUUCUAAAUUAGGUCUCUUAUAGAUGCCAUAAUGUGUUUUCUCAUAUUCAGCAUGUAUAGGUUGGUUUGUCAUGCAUGAAACUAGUACAGAUGGAAAGAUUGCAUUUUUCUGAUAAUUUUUCAUAUAUAAAUUAUUUCAAUCUGAGCUACGGUUGAAUUUCUAUGAAUUUUUGAAGAUUAAAUCAUUUUCUGGAUUUUCUGAAUUAUUUUAAUUCCAGAAAAUGUAUAAUUGCGUCAGCAUGACGUCAUCAUUGCAUCAGCGGUCAACGCGGCUGUCCAGGUCAAACCUGACGUGUGGGACCCACACGUCAGUGACACUGGGGUUAACAGGGUUAAUUAAAAGGUUAGGGGGGGGGUCGGGCCCACUGGUCAGCAUCAGGGGGGGGGUUAGUUAACGGUGAUUAGCACUAAGCUAAUCACCUGACGGGCCGGCCCCACCUGGCAGGGCUCAGGCGAUGGGGGCUCGUCGCCGGCGACCUCUGGACGCGGCGGAGUCCGCGCCACAGGCCACGGGGACGGCGUCUGAGAGCACCGGGGUGUAGCCCGGGCUCUCGCGCAUCUGGUAGGGGAGGUGGAAGCAGCAGGGGAGGCCGGAGCUCGCCGGAGCGAAGCUCGGGGCGGCGGCCGGAGUUCGGGCGCGAGCGGGAUCGGGCUGCGGGGCACGGGGAGGCCACCUGAGGGGCUCGGCGGCACCCUCGUGGCACCAGGAGCGCGAAGGGAGGCUUGGUUUGGGCGGAGGCGGGCUGAGACGGCGACGGCGACAAGGACGGCGGCGGGAGGCUUCGGCCGUGGUGGGAAGCGGCGCUAUGGCACGGGAACGGGAGGGAGAAGAGAGGGGAACGGUGGAGGAGCUCACCGCGGAUCCAGCGAGCGCGAGGACGAGGUCGGGGAUACCCGGAAGCUCCCGAAUCAACGGCGAGUACCCACGGCGGCCGGAGGGGAGGAUGGCGACGGCGAUGGCUCCACGGGAUGCCCCGUCUUGCUUGGCUCGACGAGGAGGUAGAGGGGGUCGCGGCGGAGCUCGGGGGCUCUACGGAGGGGCGAGGGGACGGCGGGGAGCGCGUCGGUGACGAGCUGCGGCGGCGGCAGUGCUUCGGGUGAGAGGGAGAGAGAGCAGGGGGAGAGGAGGAGGGCGAGGGAGAGUGAGAGCGGUGCGGGGCAGCUGCGUGGCGACGUUCCGGACGUCCAGGCGUCGAGGGGGAGGACAGGCAGGCAGGUGCCGUGGCGGCACGGCGGUGCGCACGCGCCGGCCACACGCCUCUGGCCUCCUGGCGGGAGGUGGAGGACGACUGGCGCAAACGCUGUCAGGACCCCGACUCGAUGUCACAUCGAUCUAGCCGGUAACACUUCAUAUCACUUUGCGGCCUCACGCACGGUGUUCCCACGGGUGUCGCCUUACCUUUGCCCGGGACCGUUUGCGCCUUUUGGCUCACGUAUAUGAUAGUGUCGCUAGCAUCCAUAUGAUAAAGAGCCCGGGCUGACAUGACUAGUCGUAAACCCAAAGUGGCACAGACUUACAGGGACAGGCAUCCAUGACCCAGCUUCGAACGUGUCGGUCAUCAGCGAGUGGGUCCGGGCUGUAGCACUGGGCUAGCAGGACUCCGGUAAACCGGGCUGUAGCGGGCUAACAGGACUCCGGUACUCAAAGCGUGACAUUUCCCCGAAGGGACAGACACAGGAACGAAGAAGGACACAUGCCGGCCAGCCUAAGUGUUCCAGAGCAGUAGCAAGCUACCAUGGCUCAGCGGUAACACUAGGAGACAUUUCCCGGUAAGAGAGGCUACUAAAGAUAAACAACUAGAUGGUCAGAUCCCACACAUAGCACUACACAUUACACGUACGCAUAACAUGCAGGUAUGUGCUGUACAUCAUGGCAUCACAGCAUAACUCAACAAUUAUAUAGAUAAAGGCUCAGAAGAGCCAGCAUAGCAUUCAUUGCAAACAGGGGUCACAAGACCCGUCAUACAGAGCAUACAAGCAACAAGCGGAAGCAUUACAUGUCUGGGUACAGACAUCUAUAAAUGAAAAAGGCUGAAGAGCCUGACUAUCUACAACAUCCGAUCAAGAUCGUAGCUGAGGUACUAGCUACUAGUCGAAGUCCACGAGAACACUAGUAAGACCGAAGUCUCCGCUGCAAAACAUAAAUAAAGCAACAUGAGUACAAAGGUACUCAGCAAGACUUACAUCAGAUCCUAUCAUACAUGCAUCUGUAUCAAGGGAUAAUGUGGGGUUUAGUUGCAGCAAGCCAGCUUUGACUCUGUGGCUAUCCUGUUCUACGACUACCAGAAACUCUGGAGGUGAAACAACGUACACGAGUCCACUAAUCACCACACAAUACACUACUAUGGAUUCAUCCCCGUCUCCCUACGAGAAGGCCAUCCAUAGCACUCACACUUGUCUUGAGCAUUUUAAAGUAUCCACUUCAAGUUGUCUAUGUACCAUGUAAGCAUCCAAGAAGUCCAUAACCGCGGACCCGGCUAUUCGAAUAGAUCAUGUUAACCCUGCAGGGGUGUACUUCUUCACACACUCUCUCGCCACUUACCGCCAUGUACACGUCAUGUAUCUCGGCAACCUUCAAGCGGAAGCCUGGCGAGGGUGUCGGCCACGACCUGACUAACCACACAAGACUCUAGUCCAGGUUUAUCGCCUAUUCGGGUUCCAUCCGCAAGGAGAUCCGGCCGGGGUGUCGCUCACGGCCCCAAACGAUGUGAGCAGGGUUCCCGAGCCCACCAACCGGGUGCCACUCGGUACACCGUGCCACGUGUGCCUAGUCUGUCCCAAGCCCACCCUGCCGGGUGCCACUUGGUAGAAAAAUAGCACUACCUACAAACACCAGAAACUAGUUGCGACUCCUGGACAGAGAUCAAGUUGGCUAAUAAGUCGAGAGGGGCACUUAAGCAUUCCAAUGUGUGGUAGUAUCGAGUCAUUGGACAACAUACAUAGAACUCAGUGCUUAAGGACGGUUCCAGUGAGACAACCCACCAUGUACUCCUACAUGGCCUCUCACCGCUACCUUUACCAAAUCGUGUUCACACCCUUCACUCUCAGCGUCAGAACAUAUCGUGACCCUCCAAUUCAUUCCCAAUGAAUCAGACCUGACACAACUCUAAGCAGUAGCAGGCAUAGCAUGGUAGGAACACAUCAGUGGCUUCAAUCAACUCCUACACAUGCUAGUGGGUUUCAACUAUUUACUGUGGCAAUGACAGGUCAUGCAGAGGAAUGGGUUCAACUACCGCAGCACAAAGUAGCAGAUGAACCGUUGUUGUCCUAAUGCAAUAACUGAGAGCAGGAGCGAGAGAGUAGGGUUUUAUCGAAAUGAACAAGGGGGUUUGCUUGCCUGGUAAAUCAACAAGGGAGGCACUGCUUCACAGACAGGUACUCUGGAACGUCUCCGGAGCAGGACCUAUCGAGAAGGAACGGUGCCGGCAAUCAAAACACAAUCAUAUGCAACAAUAUGAUGCAUGAGCAUGGCAUGUAGAUGUGAUGCUGUUUGGGCUAAUGCAACUAGUAUUCAAUUUGAAUGAAGUCCAUUUGAACAAAAGGUUCAAAUGCAACUCCAAAAUAAGUCUCUUAAUAUGCCAUAAUGUGUUUUCUCAUAUUCAGCAUGUAUAAGUUGGUUUUUCAUGCAUGAAACUAGUACAGAUGGAAAGGUUGCAUUUUUCUGAUAAUUUUUCAUAUAUAAAUUAUUUAAAUCUGAGCUACGGUUGAAUUGUUAUGAAUUUUUGAAGUUUAAAUCAUUUUCUGGAAUUUUCUGAAUUAUUUUAAUUCCAGAAAAUAUAUAAUUGCGUCAGCAUGACGUCAUCAUGACGUCAGCGGUCAACGCGGCUGUCCAGGGUCAAACCUGACGUGUGGGACCCACACGUCAGUGGCAGGGGGGUUAACAGGGGUUAAUUUAAUUUAAUUAAAAGGUUAGGGGGGGUCGGGCCCACUGGUCAGCGACCCUGGGGGGUCAAACCCGGUCAACUCGCCGGCGUUUAGCCGCCGGCGAGGCCCGAGACGGCGGAGGGGCUCGGAAACGUCGCUCCGGCGACCAUUCGGGCGGCGGAGACCACGAGAACGAAGCCCGCGCUCACGCGCAUCCAGUGGAACACACGGGAGGCUGCGGGGGCGGCGGAGCUCGCCGGAGCAGAGCUCACGGCGGCGGCCGGAGCUCGGCAACUUGCGGCCGCGGCGUUGUGGUGCACGGCAGUGGAGGCGGAGGGCUCCUACGGCCUCCUGGCGUCACCAGGAACACGGUGACGCGCGCGGAAGUGACCGGCUUGGGCUCGUGCCACCGUGGCGCCAUGGCCGACGGCGAGGAGCUACGGGCGCUGUGGCGAGCUAGCUAGACGGGGCAAACGGACACGGGGAGAAGGGGGUUCGGUGCGGGGGCUCACCGCGGAACCAGCGAGCGCGAGGGCGAGGUCGGGGAUGCCCGGUAGCUUCCGAAUCGCCGGCAAGGAUCCACGGCGGCCGGAGGCGAAUUUGGCGACGGCGACGGCUCCACGGGGUGCUCCGUCUUGCGUGGCUCGACGAGGAGGUAGAGGGGGUCGCGGCGGGUCUGGGGAGCGUGUCGGGAAGGCGUGGGAGAGGCGGUGGCUACGGUGAUGCCCGUCGGCGGCGGCGGUGGUUCUCGGGUGAGAGAGAGAGCAGGGGGAGAGGAGGAGGGAGAGAGUGAGAGGGCGGUCGGGGCUGCGUGGCGUCGUCCGGGGCGUUCCAGGCGACGAGGAGGAAGCAGGAGGUGGCCAGGGAAGCAGGAGGUGGAGGCGCGGCGGUGCGCGCGCGUCGGCACGCGCCGUUCCCCUGUCGGGGAGGAAGACGAUAGAGGAGGGGGGGCCAGGUGGGCUGGGCCGCCUCCUGGCUGGGCCGGCCUGCUGCUGCUGGGCUGCGCAGGGGAGAGCCCCAGGUAAGCACAGGUGAGGUUUUCCUGUUUUAUUUCCCUUUUUCUAUUUUUUCUGAUAUUUGUUUGGUUUAAUAAAAUACUAAACCAUUUUAUUUGCUUAUGCCAAUUUUUAUAGGGGCUAAGGGUAUUAUUCCAGGGCUCCUCAACAAAAGGCACAAUUUUUGGACCAUAUUUCAUAUAUAUAGAAAUAUAUCUCCAAUGCAAAUAUUUAUUGAAUUAAUCCAAAUGGCAAAAAUAAAUGUCCAUGAGCUCCUAAAAAUAUUGUUUUGAUUUUAUCUCUGUCCAAUAUUUUCAGAGGGCAACAUGAGCAUUUUCUUGGACCCUUUUGGAGAAAUUUUUAUUUGGGUCAUUUUCAAAAAUGAUUCUGAGGGUUCCACCAAUCCUCAUUUCAAAUUUAAAUGAAAUUUAAAUAUGAUGCACAAGUAGCUAGCUAGUCUAAGUCAUACCAAACUAGGGAUGUGACAACUCGCCCCCACUUGAAAGAAUCUCGUCUCGAGAUUCAGGGGUCGACGGAAAGAAAGUGGGGUACUCCAGUCGAAGACGAUCUUCUCGCUCCCAAGUAGCUUCUCUCUCGGAAUGAUGAGACCACUGAACUUUGAGAAACUUGAUGUUCUGACGUCGAGUAACACGCUCUGCUUGAUCAAGAAUGCGAACCGGGUACUCUCGGUAUGUGAGGUUAUCUUGGAGAUCAAGCGUUUCGUGGUCCACUCCGCGGAUGGGAUCCGAGAAGCAACGCCUGAGUUGAGAGACGUGGAAGACAUCAUGAACUCGAGAAAGAUGUGGAGGUAGUUCCAAUUGGUAGGCAACCUCUCCUCGUUUAGCGAGAAUACGAAAAGGACCAAUGUAACGAGGAGCCAACUUGCCCUUGAUACCGAAACGAUGGGUACCCUUCAAAGGAGUAACCCGAAGGUAAGCUUGGUCGCCAAUUUCAUAAGUCAUAUCCUUAUGAUGACGAUCAUACUGACUCUUUUGACGAGACUGGGCUGUUUUCAAAUUCUCACGAAUGAUGCGAACUUGCUCUUCUGCCUCCUGGAUCAUGUCCGGUCCAAAGAAUUGUCUUUCACCGGUUUCUGACCAGUUCAAAGGUGUUCGACAUCUUCGUCCAUAGAGAACCUCAAAAGGAGCUUUCUUGAGGCUGGAUUGGUAGCUAUUGUUAUAAGCAAACUCGGCGAAAGGAAGACACUUCUCCCAAUCCAUACCGAAUGAGAUAACGCAAGCUCUGAGCAUGUCUUCGAGAAUUUGAUUGACCCGUUCCACCUGACCACUCGACUGAGGGUGGAAAGCGGUACUGAAGGAAAGAUGGGUUCCCAUGGCAGUUUGGAAACUCUCCCAGAAAUGAGAAGUGAAAAGACUGCCACGGUCUGAAUUGAUCUCUAGUGGAACACCAUGAAGUGACACUAUUCGAGAAAUAUAUAAGUCAGCAAGCUGACUAGCAGUGAUACUCUCUCGAACAGGAAGGAAGUGAGCCACUUUGGAGAGACGAUCAAUGACUACGAAGAUAGCGUUAUUCCCUCUCUUGGUCCUGGGAAAGCCGGUGAUGAAGUCCAUACCAACUUUAUCCCAUUUCCAUUCAGGAAUAGCUAAAGGCUGAAGGGUGCCAGCAGGUCUUUGAUGCUCUGCCUUAACGCGACGACAAACGUCACAUUUAGCAAUGAACUCAGCGAUUUCUCUCUUCAUCCUAGUCCACCAAAACCUCUGGCGUAGGUCCUGAUACAUCUUAGUGCUACCGGGAUGAAUCAUGAGAGGGGAUUCAUGCACCUCCUUAAGAAUCAAUUGUCGCAGAUGCUGAUUCUUGGGAACCACCAAGCGAUUCUCAAAGAAAACAACACCACGAUCAUCCAUAGAGAAACAUCCACCAACUCCCUUCUUAAUGUUUCUCUUGAUGCGGAUAACCCCCCUAUCAAACUUCUGGUCAGAGAUGAUCUGAUCCUCAAGGGUAGGUUUCGCCACCAAGGUAGAAAGGAAUCCGCGGGGAGCAAUGUGAAGGUUAAGCUUACAGAAUUCCUCAUGGAGAAGUGGUUGGCCUUGCUGCAACAUGAGAUUAUUGCAAUAGGAUUUACGACUUAGAGCAUCAGCCAUGACAUUGGCUUUGCCUGGGGUGUAGGUAAUCCCUAGAUCAUAAUCUGUGAUCAACUCCAACCAACGUCUUUGCCUAAGGUUCAGAUCCGGUUGGGUGAAGAUAUACUUGAGACUCUGGUGAUCGGUGUAGAUCUCGCAACGUUUACCAAGGAGGUAAUGUCGCCAGGUCUUGAGUGCAUAGACUACGGCUGCAAGCUCUAGAUCAUGUGUAGGAUAAUUCUCCUCAUGUGGAUGCAACUGUCGGGAUGCAUAGGCAAUCACAUGACGAUCCUGCAUAAGAAUGCAACCUAGUCCCUGUCGUGAGGCGUCGCAGUAGAUAAUAAAGUCUUUAGUGAAAUCCGGUGGCACAAGUAUGGGGGCAGAAGUCAGGCGUCUUUUCAGUUCCUGAAAACUGUACUCACACUGUGGGGACCACUCAAACUUUUUAUCUUUCUUGAGAAGUUCCGUGAGGGGUUUGGCUACUUUGGAGAAGUUUUCAACAAAGCGGCGACAAUAGCUGGCUAGACCAAGGAAGCUCCUAACUUGUUUAACGGUCUCAGGUGGAGUCCAAUCGAGAACAGCUUGAACUCUCUCGGGAUUGACAGCAAUGCCCUUACCAGAGAUUACGUGGCCUAGGUAGGUCACUUCUGGCAACCAAAAUUCACACUUGGAGAACUUGGCAUAAAGGCGGUGUUCUCUGAGUUUUUCUAAAACAAGUCUAAGAUGUUCGGCAUGCUCUUCCUCGUUCUUCUAGUAAAUAAGAAUAUCAUCGAGGUAAACCACGACGAACUUAUCUAAGUACUCCAUGAAGAUCGAGUUCAUCAAGCGGGAGAAUGUAGCUGGAGCGUUGGUUAGACCAAAAGACAUGACCGUGUACUCGUACUGGCCAUAACGAGUGACAAAAGCUGUCUUGGGAAUGUCCCCAUUUCUGAUCUUAAUUUGAUGGUAGCCUAAUCUUAAAUCCAUCUUGGAGAAGACUGAGGAUCCAGCGAGCUGAUCAUACAGGUCGUUGAUCCUGGGAAGCGGAUACUUGUUCUUUAUCGUGACCAAAUUAACGGGACGAUAAUCUACAACCAUCCGGUCCGUACCAUCCUUCUUCUUGACGAAGAGGACGGGGCAAGCCCAAGGAGAAGAGCUAGGAUGGAUGAAACCCUUUUGCAAGGACUCAUCAAGUUGUUUCUUAAGAUCGGCUAGUUCUAAGGGUGCCAUCUUGUAAGGUCUCCGGGAGAUUGGAGCUGUUCCUGGGAUAAGAUCUAUGACGAACUCUACAUCUCUGUCAGGUGGAACACCUGGCAGUUCCUCUGGAAAGACAUCUGGAAAGUCACGGACUACCGGAAUAUCUUCAAGGUCUGGAAGAGGGCUGGCAUUGAGAGAAUAGAGCUGACGCUUUGCAACUCUAGUGGAGACGGUGACUAUCUUGCCAGAUGGGUGUGUAAGUUGAACAGAUCUUGUGCAACAAUCAAUCUUGGCAUGAUGAGCUGUCAUCCAAUCCAUGCCCAAGAUGAUGUUAAUAUCUGAGGACUUGAGGGCUACAAGUGAGGCAAGGAAUACAAGUCUGUCAACAAGGAUUUCGUUACCGUGGCUUACACUAGAGGUUUGCCAUUUGAAUCCAGGAGUUUGGAUGACUAGCGGAGUUGGCAUAUCACAAAAUGACAUGUCGUGCAAACGAGCAUAGCCUUCAGAAAUGAAGGAGUGAGAUGCUCCAGUAUCGAAUAGAACUGAUGCUGGAUGACAAUUGACAAGGAGUGUACCAAGAACGACAUUUGGAUCAUCAUGAGCGUCUUUAGCUGAGACGUGAUGCACACGUCCACGUUCAGUGGGGGCUGACUUGACACUGAUCAUCUUGCGUGAUGGCUUAACACAGCCAACAGUCUUCUCGGGCUGAGGUGGAGCAUAACUAGUUUGAGAGCAAUCACGUGCAUAGUGUCCUGGCUUUCCGCAUGUGAAGCAAGUCCCUGAGGUUGGACGGGGACCCGCACUGACAAGCGGUCUACCAGUAGGCCUGGGUGGAACAUAUGACUGAACUGGGGGAGGCACCACAUGAGAUGACCUCGGUGCAUAUCCGGAAGGAAGAGCGGAGUUUGGAACCCAAAUCCGGCGUUUCUGGGAACUAGAGCCAGAGGAAGAUCCCAAAUCACGGGUGUGCUUACGAGACUCCUCGUAAGUGAGCUGAGCUGUCUCUGCAUUGAUGGCCUUGUUCACAAGGGCUUGGAAUGUAUCACAAUGAUGCAGGUGGAGAUCACGACGCAACUUGGGGUUGAGACCCUUCCGGAACCUAGCCUGCUUCUUGGCGUCCGUGGACACUUCUUCUGUGGCAUAACGGGCGAGGUUCUCGAACUCUCUGCUAUAAGCAUCAACAGCCAUCUUACUCUGGGAGAAACUACAGAACUCUUCUCUCUUGCGAUCAAGAAGGGCCUGGGGAAUGUGAUGCUCGCGAAAAGCCUCGGUGAAAACCUUCCAGGUAGGAAUCUGGCCAGCUGGAAGCAUAGCCUCAUAGUUCUGCCACCAAAGACUAGCAGGACCUUCCAGGUGAUAUGUGGCAUAAGUGACCUUGUCAUCUUCAGCUACGCUCGCGGAACGCAGCUUAUGGGUGAUGCUACGGAGCCAGUCAUCUGCGUCGAGUGGCUCGAUGGAAUGAUGAAAGGUAGGUGGGUGCAAACGAAUGAAGUCAUAAAUGGUAGCAGACCCUUUGAACUGAUGUGCGAUGUUCUCGUCGAUACGUGCCAACAAACGAUUAGACUCACGCUUGUUCCUCUCCAUUUCUAACAUGAACUCUGUCAACGAAGGCUGGUCGGGAGGAUCCUCAUUCCUACCAUCUCCAUGGUUCUGGCCACGAACAAUAGAACUUGAUGACAUCCUAAGAAGCAAAACCAGGGAUGAAAUCAACAUCAACUAUGGACUGUAGAAUGUAGGACAAGGAAUUAGUAUCUCUUGAACUCCUAGGAGAAUUCCGGCAGCAUAACGGCAGUAAAAUGCUCAGAAUGAGACAUCCUACUAAAAAUGGGGUGGUAACAUACUCAUCAUCAUCACUCAAGGUUCUGAGAUAGUACUAAACAGACUACACCGGAAAUACUUAAAACUGGGGUAUGACUCUGAUCAACCAAUCCUAUGGGACUACGGAGUAGUAACACGUGAUCCUGCUAGACGGAAGAGAAAACCUAGUUCCUUAACCCCGUAGGAAAGAUAGGACGACUCAGAUCAGAAGGCCAUGAGGUAAAGGAGUAAAAAGAGCCUUACGUUCCUUCCCACAAUCAAUUCCCUUACAUAACUAAAGAAUUUCUAGACUCAACUUCGACCAGUUUGGCUUGGUAAUCCUACAGGCAGUCAGGCUCUGAUACCAAAGCUGUCAGGACCCCGACUCAAUGCCACAUCGAUCUAGCAUGUAACACCUCAUAUCACUUUGCGGCCUCACGCACGGUAUCCCCACGGGUGUCGUCUUACCCUUUCCCGGGACCGUUUGCGCAUUUUGGUACACGUAUAUGAUGGUGUCGCUAACAUCCAUAUGAUAAAGAGCCCGGGCUGACAUGGCUAGUCGUAAACCCAAAGUGGCACUAACUUACAGGGACAGGCAUCCAUGACCCAACAUCGAACGUGUCGGUCAUCAGCGAGUGAAUCCAGGCUGUAGCACUGGGCUAACAGGACUCCGGUGAACCGGGCUGUAGCGGGCUAGCAGGACUCUGGUAUUCAUCGCGUGACAUUUCCCCGAAGGGACAGACACAGGAUCGAAGAAGGACACAUGCCGGCCAGCCUAAGUGUUCCGGAGCAGUAGCAAGCUACCAGGGCUCAGUGGAAGCACUAGGAGACAUUUCCCGGUAAGAGAGGCUACUAAGGAUAACAACUAGAUAGUCAGAUCCCACACAUAGCAAUACACAUUACACGUACGCAUAAUAUGCAAGUAUGUGCUGUACAACAUGGCAUCACAGCAUAACUCAACAAUCAUAUAGAUAAAGGCUCAGAAGAGCCAUCAUAGCAUAUAUUGCAAACAGGGGUCACAAAACCCAUCAUACAGAGCAUACAAGCAACAAGCGGAAGCAUUACAUGUCUGGGUACAGACAUCUACAAAUGAAAAAGGCUGAAGAGCCUGACUAUCUACAACAUCCGAUCAAGAUCGUAGCUGAGGUACUAGCUACUAGUCGAAGUCCACGAGAACACUAGUAAGACCGAAGUCUCCGCUGCAAAAACAUAAAUAAAGCAACAUGAGUACAAAGGUACUCAGCAAGACUUACAUCAGAUCCUAUCAUACAUGCAUUUGUACCAAGAGGGUAAUGUGGGGUUUGGUUGCAGCAAGCCAGCUUUGACUCUGUGGCUAUCCUGUUCUACGACUACCAGAAACUCUGGAGGUGAAACAACGUACACGAGUCCACUAAUCACCAUACAAUACACUACUAUGGAUUCAUCCCCGUCUCCCUACGAGAAGGCCAUCCAUAGCACUCACACUUGUCUUGAGCAUUUUUUAGUAUCCACUUCAAGUUGUCUAUGUACCAUGUAAGCAUCCAAGAAGUCCAUAACCGCGGACCCGGCUAUUCGAAUAGAUCAUGUUAACCCUGCAGGGGUGUACUUCUUCACACACGCUCUCGCCACUUACCGCCAUGUACACGUCAUGUAUCUCGGCAACCUUCAAGCGGAAGCCUGGCGAGGGUGUCGGCCACGACCCGACUAACCACACAAGACUCUAGUCCAGGUUUAUCGCCUAUUCGGGUUCCAUCCGCAAGGAGAUCCGGCCGGGGUGUCGCUCACGGCCCCAAACGAUGUGAGCAGGGUUCCCGAGCCCACCAACCGGGUGCCACUCGGUACACCGUGCCACGUGUGCCUAGUCUGUCCCAAGCCCACCCUGCCGGGUGCCACUUGGUAGAAAAAUAGCACUACCUACAAACACCAGAAACUAGUUGCGACUCCUGGACAGAGAUCAAGUUGGCUAAUAAGUCGAGAGGGGCACUUAAGCAUUCCAAUGUGUGGUAGUAUCGAGUCAUUGGACAACAUACAUAGAACUCAGUGCUUAAGGACGGUUCCAGUGAGACAACCCACCAUGUACUCCUACAUGGCCUCUCACCGCUACCUUUACCAAAUCGUGUUCACACCCUUCACUCUCAGCGUCAGAACAUAUCGUGACCCUCCAAUUCAUUCCCAAUGAAUCAGACCUGACACAACUCUAAGCAGUAGCAGGCAUAGCAUGGUAGGAACACAUCAGUGGCUUCAAUCAACUCCUACACAUGCUAGUGGGUUUCAACUAUUUACUGUGGCAAUGACAGGUCAUGCAGAGGAAUGGGUUCAACUACCGCAGCACAAAGUAGCAGAUGAACCGUUGUUGUCCUAAUGCAAUAACUGAGAGCAGGAGCGAGAGAGUAGGGUUUUAUCGAAAUGAACAAGGGGGUUUGCUUGCCUGGUAAAUCAACAAGGGAGGCACUGCUUCACAGACAGGUACUCUGGAACGUCUCCGGAGCAGGACCUAUCGAGAAGGAACGGUGCCGGCAAUCAAAACACAAUCAUAUGCAACAAUAUGAUGCAUGAGCAUGGCAUGUAGAUGUGAUGCUGUUUGGGCUAAUGCAACUAGUAUUCAAUUUGAAUGAAGUCCAUUUGAACAAAAGGUUCAAAUGCAACUCCAAAAUAANNNNNNNNNNNNNNNNNNNNNNNNNNNNNNNNNNNNNNNNNNNNNNNNNNNNNNNNNNNNNNNNNNNNNNNNNNNNNNNNNNNNNNNNNNNNNNNNNNNNNNNNNNNNNNNNNNNNNNNNNNNNNNNNNNNNNNNNNNNNNNNNNNNNNNNNNNNNNNNNNNNNNNNNNNNNNNNNNNNNNNNNNNNNNNNNNNNNNNNNNNNNNNNNNNNNNNNNNNNNNNNNNNNNNNNNNNNNNNNNNNNNNNNNNNNNNNNNNNNNNNNNNNNNNNNNNNNNNNNNNNNNNNNNNNNNNNNNNNNNNNNNNNNNNNNNNNNNNNNNNNNNNNNNNNNNNNNNNNNNNNNNNNNNNNNNNNNNNNNNNNNNNNNNNNNNNNNNNNNNNNNNNNNNNNNNNNNNNNNNNNNNNNNNNNNNNNNNNNNNNNNNNNNNNNNNNNNNNNNNNNNNNNNNNNNNNNNNNNNNNNNNNNNNNNNNNNNNNNNNNNNNNNNNNNNNNNNNNNNNNNNNNNNNNNNNNNNNNNNNNNNNNNNNNNNNNNNNNNNNNNNNNNNNNNNNNNNNNNNNNNNNNNNNNNNNNNNNNNNNNNNNNNNNNNNNNNNNNNNNNNNNNNNNUAUAUAAAUUAUUUAAAUCUGAGCUACGGUUGAAUUGUUAUGAAUUUUUGAAGUUUAAAUCAUUUUCUGGAAUUUUCUGAAUUAUUUUAAUUCCAGAAAAUAUAUAAUUGCGUCAGCAUGACGUCAUCAUGACGUCAGCGGUCAACGCGGCUGUCCAGGGUCAAACCUGACGUGUGGGACCCACACGUCAGUGGCAGGGGGGUUAACAGGGGUUAAUUUAAUUUAAUUAAAAGGUUAGGGGGGGUCGGGCCCACUGGUCAGCGACCCUGGGGGGUCAAACCCGGUCAACUCGCCGGCGUUUAGCCGCCGGCGAGGCCCGAGACGGCGGAGGGGCUCGGAAACGUCGCUCCGGCGACCAUUCGGGCGGCGGAGACCACGAGAACGAAGCCCGCGCUCACGCGCAUCCAGUGGAACACACGGGAGGCUGCGGGGGCGGCGGAGCUCGCCGGAGCAGAGCUCACGGCGGCGGCCGGAGCUCGGCAACUUGCGGCCGCGGCGUUGUGGUGCACGGCAGUGGAGGCGGAGGGCUCCUACGGCCUCCUGGCGUCACCAGGAACACGGUGACGCGCGCGGAAGUGACCGGCUUGGGCUCGUGCCACCGUGGCGCCAUGGCCGACGGCGAGGAGCUACGGGCGCUGUGGCGAGCUAGCUAGACGGGGCAAACGGACACGGGGAGAAGGGGGUUCGGUGCGGGGGCUCACCGCGGAACCAGCAAGCGCGAGGGCGAGGUCGGGGAUGCCCGGUAGCUUUCAAAUCGCCGGCGAGGAUCCAUGGCGGCCGGAGGCGAAUUUGGCGACGGCGACGGCUCCACGGGGUGCUCCGUCUUGCGUGGCUCGACGAGGAGGUAGAGGGGGUCGCGGCGGGUCUGGGGAGCGUGUCGGGAAGGCGUGGGAGAGGCGGUGGCUACGGUGAUGCCCGUCGGCGGCGGCGGUGGUUCUCGGGUGAGAGAGAGAGAGCAGGGGGAGAGGAGGAGGGAGAGAGUGAGAGGGCGGUCGGGGCUGCGUGGCGUCGUCCGGGGCGUUCCAGGCGACGAGGAGGAAGCAGGAGGUGGCCAGGGAAGCAGGAAGUGGAGGCGCGGCGGUGCGCGCGCGUCGGCACGCGCCGUUCCCCUGUCGGGGAGGAAGACGACAGAGGAGGGGGGGCCAGGUGGGCUGGGCCGCCUCCUGGCUGGGCCGGCCUGCUGCUGCUGGGCUGCGCAGGGGAGAGCCCUAGGUAAGCACAGGUGAGGUUUUCCUGUUUUAUUUCCCUUUUUCUAUUUUUUCUGAUAUUUGUUUGGUUUAAUAAAAUACUAAACCAUUUUAUUUGCUUAUGCCAAUUUUUAUAGGGGCUAAGGGUAUUAUUCCAGGGCUCCUCAACAAAAGGCACAAUUUUUGGACCAUAUUUCAUAUAUAUAGAAAUAUAUCUCCAAUGCAAAUAUUUAUUGAAUUAAUCCAAAUGGCAAAAAUAAAUGUCCAUGAGCUCCUAAAAAUAUUGUUUUGAUUUUAUCUCUGUCCAAUAUUUUCAGAGGGCAACAUGAGCAUUUUCUUGGACCCUUUUGGAGAAAUUUUUAUUUGGGUCAUUUUCAAAAAUGAUUCUGAGGGUUCCACCAAUCCUCAUUUCAAAUUUAAAUGAAAUUUAAAUAUGAUGCACAAGUAGCUAGCUAGUCUAAGUCAUACCAGACUAGGGAUGUGACACGUAUCAUGUGUGAAAAAUGAUAUUUUCAAAAUACAACUGAAACUAUGCUAAUUGUGAAGAUGAGUGGAAUCAGUUUAAAAUAAGUUAACUCAGUUAAUUGCAAUGAGUUAAAUCUUUUUCUAAAUGAAUGAAAUCCGUUUCACAAAACGGUUGAAAUAUGUGUUUUGAAAGAAUUGAAAUCAUUUUUGUCAUAUUGAUUGCUUUAAUGCGUGAAACCGAUUAUUUCAAAUAUAUGAGAAUGUGAUUAUUUGAAAAAUAGAUUUCACUCCAUUUUCUUAAUACGUGGAAACAAUUGAAAUGAGUGAAACAAUUUUUUAAAUGAUUGAAUUUAGUUUUUGAAAUGAGUGAUAUUAUUUCUUGAACUGAGAGAAAUUAGUGGUUUAAAAUAAGCCAAUAUAUUUUUUAAAUGAGUAAAAUAAAAAAUUGAAAUGUGUGAAAUACUUUUAAAAUUGAGAGAAAUAUGUUUUUGAAAUUAGUGAAAUUAUUUUUUUGAAAUGAGUAAAGUUGUUUCUUUAGAUUAAUGAAAUUUGUUUUUCAAAACUUGUUUAAAAUAUAUUCUAGAUCGGUCUUGUUUUAAAGGUCACAUGAAUCGCCAUGAAUUCAAUUAUGUAAAGAAAUAGAAAUGGUAAUUUGGUCCAAAAGUUAUAAAUUGUUCAAAAUAAAACAAGAAAAAUAAAAUGCAAGUUUGAGAGAGAGAUUCUUGUCUGCAUGGAAUCAGUCAUUUUCCUUACUCUCUCGCUCUCUUACAUGACAAAAGGCUAACACUGUGUUCGGAUGUCUGAAUUAGCCCCUUCGAAUUGGAUAUGGUAUUGGCUACAUGCCAAUUCAGGUGUUCGGGUGUUUAUCGAAUCGAGCGACGGAAUCGGGCCCGAUACAGAGCCGAAAUCGCCUCCACGCGCGCAGCCCUCCCGCGAUACAGAGGUCUCUGCCUCCGAUUUGGCCCGAAUUGGGUUACUCCCGCGAAACGUACCGCUUGGAGACAGUCUCGCGCGAGACCUAUCCCUUUCCUCCCGCGCGUGAAGUGAGUCGCAAGCUUCAGGAGCCGCCGCCGGCGCAUGUAUGGAUCCCCACUCCAUGGCCCUCCUCCUCCCCCUCCUCUCUCCGACGGCGGCGGAUCUUCAAGCCCCCGUGGAUGCGGCCCCUUUCCCUCCCCUGCAUAGCUCCUUCCUCUGCCCCGCGAGCCGGCGCAGCCCUGCAUCUGGCCUGUGUCGCUGGCGGGCGCGACCUCCAUCCCGGCCAUCUCGCUGGCCGGUGCGCCCUCCAUACCGCCCAUCUCGCUGGCUGGCGCAACCCCUCCAUCUUCUUCCCCUUCUCCCCUGCCAUCUACUUCCCCUUCCUCCUCCAUCUUCUUCUUCCCCUUCCAUGGACCCCCUUCUUUCUCUUCCUUUGCUUAACCAGCCAGCCUUUUCUAAGUUCUUCCUCUUCCCUUGUUCUGUUCUUCCCUGAUGUCCACGUUCCCAUGAAUUUACUGACCACAUGUUUAUUUUUUUGCAGGUGUUGCUGGAUCCCCCUUCUUUCUCUUCCUUUGUGCAUUUGUAAAAUGUUUGUUAAUUUUUAUUCCUAUAUAAUCAUUCAAUUAUCACACAUUGUACAGAUUUUAAUUUGAUGCAGAAAGCACAAAGCAUUACGCAAUUCCAUAGUUUGUCAUCUGAACAUGAUUUGGUAUUGAAAACUGAUUAUGAUUCCAUGGGCCAAUUUCAUGAGCAUCCAAACAUGUGAAUUCGUAUUCAUGUCAUUACGGUUUCCUCCCUGAAUUGGAAUUAAAACCAAUUCAAUACGGAGGCCUACAAUACAGACAUCCGAACACAGCGUAACAAAAUUCUGUUGUGGCGGACCCCUACUAGCGUGUACCUGCAAUGUAUAGCUAGAAGUACCGGUACCGCUUGAUUUCCCACUUUCCCCGGUCACCCAUUCCAUGUCGGUAUGAAGCUCAUCGCUGUUGCUGCCCUCAUCCUGGCCACCAUUCUCUCCAUUUACCAUGACCAAUGCCGCUAAUCUAAAAAUCAUGGAACACAUUUUUGUUUUCUAUGGUCUGACCUGCGAGCCCCGAUCUCUAGGAAAUGGAGAUGAGAUUGCACGAAGGAGAUAUGCAGGAUUAGGUGAAGGGGAGAAAAUUAGAGGACGAAAUAGAGAACAAGGGUACGAGGAAGGGAAUCCUUUUGUUCUUCGAUGUCUCUCCCGGAAGGGCUAUGGACGGUGAUUUCGAGCAGCAAGUCUUAGCGUCUGGUCCGUCUCAUAGGAGUUAGCCAGUUGUUGAAGCCACCCGCCUAGCAAACGGAGAGUGUGUCGAUUGACAGUAGGUUGUCAACAUGUGGCAGGGCAUCAGGCGCACCCAAGACCAAGACCGAGACAGUCGUUAAAGUAGUCAGAGUUGAACCGAAAGGAGGGGCAGCAACCAUUAACUAGAUAAAAUCGUAUUCAAUAUCAAUAGCAACGAAUACUGCUAAAAUCCCCAUAGUUGUUGAUUAUGCCACAACUAAUAUUGCGUGCUUUCCCAUUCCUAUUGCUUUCGGUAUCUAAAUCUUCCCGAAUUCAAGUAGUGAAUGUCAGGGCUUUCUUCUUCUUUGAUUUUCUUUGGGGCAGAGGAUAAAUAAAUGGAUUUUCAACAUAGCACUUGCGGUGCGGCAUUAGGAUUCUAAGAUUUAGGAGGGGAAGAUUGAGGAGAGGGCCCCAUUAGAAGAAGAGAUGGCUGUGCUUGAAUCGGCUGCAGGCGUGCAUUUGUACUGGAAGGAGAACUAUAGACCCGCUAACUUCAACAUGGCCUUGCGCUGUAGGUCGGUGACGAGUUGUUGAUCUCCCUUAGUGCACAAGAUUUUGUUGUUUGUGACGACAAUGGGGUCGCACGAAUUUGUUCUUAAAUCUUCAAUUUGUGGUUCAUGAUACACAAUUUGUUUGAUGAAUGAAUAAAUGCUUCUCGGGUCAGAUCGAGCGUUGCAAAUUUUUUGCGCAAAUCUACGAGCCGCUCCCCAAUGGAGCUCAGCAAGGGUGCAUCAUUGCGCCGAAGAUGGAUGCUCGGGAUGGAUACCGCGUACAGGAACGCUGCCCUUGUUGUCGGCAAAGCUUGUGUUUGUGCGUCCAUGGAAAACAGAGUGCCGUGGCUCUCGUAAAUACUCCAUCCGUCCCUUGAUGUAAGAUGUUUUUUGACACUAGUGUAGUGUCAGAGAACGGCUUAUAUUAUAGGACGGAGUAGUACAAGAUAGAAAAAAUAACAGAGCAUCAUUCAUAGUACUGAAUAUUAACUGAAUUCAACAUAAGCACAUACAGGACGACCACAACAUAUAUAUGCUAAUUUUAGCCAUUUCAUCGUUGAAAAUAGCUAAAUGAGUUGUUCCAACAAAUUGGUAGCCGAGAAACAUUUUUGCAGAAGGACAAUAGCAUUGACUAUUCUUUGAGAUCGGGGAGUCCUUCCAACCACAUCGAGAUUAAUCUUCAACUCGACCUUCUGAGCGGAACAGAAUAUCAGGAGAAGCACCACAUUGAGAUUCAUCUUCACCUCGACCUUAUGAGCGG